rnacentral:rRNA from 1 species
GAUGAACGCUGGCGGCGUGCUUAACACAUGCAAGUCGAACGAUGAAGCCCAGCUUGCUGGGUGGAUUAGUGGCGAACGGGUGAGUAACACGUGAGUAACCUGCCCUUAACUCUGGGAUAAGCCUGGGAAACUGGGUCUAAUACCGGAUAGGAGCGUCCACCGCAUGGUGGGUGUUGGAAAGAUUUAUCGGUUUUGGAUGGACUCGCGGCCUAUCAGCUUGUUGGUGAGGUAAUGGCUCACCAAGGCGACGACGGGUAGCCGGCCUGAGAGGGUGACCGGCCACACUGGGACUGAGACACGGCCCAGACUCCUACGGGAGGCAGCAGUGGGGAAUAUUGCACAAUGGGCGAAAGCCUGAUGCAGCGACGCCGCGUGAGGGAUGACGGCCUUCGGGUUGUAAACCUCUUUCAGUAGGGAAGAAGCGAAAGUGACGGUACCUGCAGAAGAAGCAACGGCUAACUACGUG